AACGAACGCUGGCGGCAGGCUUAACACAUGCAAGUCGAGCGCCCCGCAAGGGGAGCGGCAGACGGGUGAGUAACGCGUGGGAACAUACCCUUUGGUUCGGAAUAACUCAGGGAAACUUGAGCUAAUACCGGAUACGUCCGUAAGGAGAAAGAUUUAUCGCCAAAGGAUUGGCCCGCGUCCGAUUAGCUAGUUGGUGAGGUAACGGCUCACCAAGGCUACGAUCGGUAGCUGGUCUGAGAGGAUGAUCAGCCACAUUGGGACUGAGACACGGCCCAAACUCCUACGGGAGGCAGCAGUGGGGAAUAUUGGACAAUGGGCGCAAGCCUGAUCCAGCCAUGCCGCGUGAGUGAUGAAGGCCUUAGGGUUGUAAAGCUCUUUUGUCCGGGAAGAUAAUGACUGUACCGGAAGAAUAAGCCCCGGCUAACUUCGUG
rnacentral:rRNA from 1 species